rnacentral:rRNA from 1 species
GACGAACGCUGGCGGCAUGCCUAACACAUGCAAGUCGAGCGAGUAGAUCCCUUCGGGGUGAAGCUAGCGGCGGACGGGUGAGUAACACGUGGGCAACCUGCCUCAUAGAGGGGAAUAGCCUUCCGAAAGGAAGAUUAAUACCGCAUACGAUUGUAGUACCGCAUGGUAUAGCAAUUAAAGGAGCAAUCCGCUAUGAGAUGGGCCCGCGGCGCAUUAGCAAGUUGGUGAGGUAACGGCUCACAAAGGCGAGGAUGCGUAGCCGACCUGAGAGGGUGAUCGGCAGCAUUGGGGCCGAGAGACGGCCCAGACUCCUACGGGAGGCAGCAGUGGGGAAUAUUGCACAAUGGGGGAAACCCUGAUGCAGCAAUGCCGCGUGAGUGAUGACGGCCUUCGGGUUGUAAAGCUCUGUCUUCGGGGACGAUAAUGACGGUACCCGAGGAGGAAGCCACGGCUAACUACGUGCCAGCCGCCGCGGUAA